rnacentral:rRNA from 1 species
UGGGGAAUAUUGGGCAAUGGGCGCAAGCCUGACCCAGCAACGCCGCGUGAAGGAAGAAGGCCCUCGGGUUGUAAACUUCUUUUAUUUAGGACGAAACAAAUGACGGUACUAGAUGAAUAAGCCACGGCUAACUACGUGCCAGCAGCCGCGGUAAUACGUAGGUGGCAAGCGUUAUCCGGAUUUACUGGGUGUAAAGGGCGUGUAGGCGGGACUGCAAGUCAGGCGUGAAAUCCAGGGGCUCAACCCCUGGCCUGCGUUUGAAACUGUAGUUCUUGAGUGAUGGAGAGGCAGGCGGAAUUCCGUGUGUAGCGGUGAAAUGCGUAGAUAUACGGAGGAACACCAGUGGCGAAGGCGGCCUGCUGGACAUUAACUGACGCUGAGGCGCGAAAGCGUGGGGAGCAAACA